CAUUCCCUUUCCAGUAUGGUCCAUGGAAAACAUGCAGAGGAAAUGGCCCCACAGCAUUGGCUGAGUGUUUAUGUCUUCCAACCGAGUCUCCAUUGAACUGUUGUGGUGUUGCUGACUUGCCCUAGGUCACCUGAGUUAAAUGUCCUUAGAGUGACCUGAGGACCCAGCAAACACUUGAGAGCAAAGGGCAUGGCACGAUCACAUCCAAGGCCUGAGAGUAACAGCAAGUGAGAUCUGGAAGAGCAGUGUGAAGAGGGUUGCAUUCCCUUUCCAGUAUGGUCCAUGGAAAACAUGCAGAGGAAAUGGCCCCACAGCAUUGGCUGAGUGUUUAUAUCUUCCAACCGAGUCUCCAUCGAACUGUUGUGGUGUUGCUGACUUGGCCUAGGUCACCUGAGUUAAAAGGGUUGCAUUCCCUUUCCAGUAUGGUCCAUGGAAAACAUGCAGAGGAAAUGGCCCCACAGCAUUGGCUGAGUGUUUAUGUCAUCCAACCGAGUCUCCAUCGAACUGUUGUGGUGUUGCUGACUUGCCCUAGGUCACUUGAGUUAAAUGAGAUGCAUUCCUUUUCCUUCAUGGGCCAUGAGUGACAUCCAGAGAAAGUGUCACCACAACACUGGACAAAAGUUGAUGAUAUCUGAAUGAGCUACCAGUAAACCCCCCCCUUUUUUUGCUGUUAUUGCCUUGCCUGAGGAAAAGCGAGUUAAAAGAUGAUACCUACAGUGAUGAGUUGGAGUUAUAGAUGGUGCCAUUUCUUCUACCAGCAGCUUCACCAAAACAAUCUCCAUUAUACAUGCUGAUGCCUCUUUCCUGUGUAGCAGCAGACACCACCUGCAGAUAAGAAAUGCUUAGGGCUUGACCUGCCUUUGCCUCCUGUGAUUAUUGUGUUCUCCCAUCUAUAUAAGAUUCAAGACAGGAAUUUUCUGUGUAACAGCCAUUGGUGAAGUGAAACUUACUUUUUUGACGAGACUGGCACUGAAUUCACAGAAAUCCAAUACCCCCUGCCUCUUGAGUGCUGGGGAGAAAGGUAUGCACUACCAUACCUGCCUUUAAAUUGCUAUUUUAGAUGAUGGCUUUAUGCUAAUUAAGUUUCUGUUAAUGAACACUGUAAAGAAAUUGCACAGUGCACAAAAGGAAAUAACAGGUAAAUGCAGAUGUCAAAAGGAUGAAACAAAAAAUGUAUAAAUUCUGAAAAAUGCACUUGCAUGUUCAAUAGCACUGUCUACAAAAUAUAGCGUUGUCUGUUGACAGUGACAAAGUGUAAGGAGCAGAUAGUAGGGCCCUGUACCUUAAUACUUAAUAUUUUCUAGAAUCGUGUCUUUCAUUUUUUGCUUUGUUUUCCAUCAAUAUCUGGCUACUUAAUGUGGUGUGAGGAGCCUUUCUACUAUAUUAAUGUAUGCUUGCCUUGUUGAAAUUCAAGAAAAGAAGCAUAUCAGUGGAUACGAAUGACCAUUUUGCAUGAAAACUAUGCAUGAAAGAUUUUAUAAUAUGCUGAAAAUAUCAAAACAACAAGGAAGUUGUGCCAAUAGAGCUUCAGAAAAUUGUCUCACACCUCUGACAUUUAUUUAGAGAAGGGACAACCGGUGCCUUCACUUCUUCCCUUUCCUCCUUAGGGAAAACAUACUUUCAAGUAUCAAAAAAGGGUGCCCUUGCUUCCAUCUAAAAUAUUUCGACCCUGCAACCCUCUCCAGUUACAUGUGACCAUUCCUAACUCUGAAGCAAUUUUGGAAAGGAAGUCAUCUCACAUGCCUACUGUGAAGGCAGAGAACCACAGAUAAUCAGGUAAGUGGUAAGAACAUGGUAAAGCCACCACCUC
rnacentral:lncRNA from 1 species